rnacentral:pre_miRNA from 1 species
UAUAUACUUCCUCCGUCCGAAAAUACUUGUCAUCAAAAUGGAUUAAAAAAUGUAUCUAAAACUAAAAUACGUCUAGAUACAUCCCCUUUUAUCCAUUUUGAUGACAAGUAUUUCCGGACGGAGGGAGUAGCUA